rnacentral:rRNA from 1 species
CGCGUCGUGGUAUUUCGCGUAUUGUAAUUUCAACACGAGCGGGGUCAAAUCCUUUGCAGACGACUUAUCUGUGCGAAACGGUCCUGUAAGCAGUAGAGUAGCCUUGUUGUUACGAUCUGCUGAGGGUAAGCCGUCCUUCGCCUCGAUUU